rnacentral:rRNA from 1 species
UCCGGAGGGUGCAAGCGUUAAUCGGAAUUACUGGGCGUAAAGCGCACGCAGGUGGCUGAGUCAGUCGAUUGUGAAAGCCCUGGGCUUAACCUGGGAAUUGCAGUCGAUACUACUCAGCUAGAGUAUGGGAGAGGGUAGUGGAAUUCCCGGUGUAGCGGCGAAAUGCGUAGAGAUCGGGAAGAACACCAGUGGCGAAGGCGGCCGGCUGGGGGCGCCCUGACGCUGAGGCGCGAGAGCGUGGGGAGCAAACCGG